AAUACAUUCAAAUAUUCAAAAAACACCAUUAAUCAACAUUGUACGCAGGCAUAUUAUGUCACAUUAGGCAUACCCAAACGUAUCAAAUAUCUAAUAGGAACCGAACAUACAGCGUACUUAGUAAGAAAAAGAACCAUAAUACAAAAUCAUCAUAGAGCUUCAAGGAGUAUUUUUAAUCAUAUAUGUAUUUUAUUAAGUCUAUUACCAAUCUUCACGUGAAACCAUUUCAACAUAUAUCCACUGAAGGUAGAAGGCAUCCUCGACUACCACUAUGAAUCACCAAUCCAUUCCCAAACCAUUAUCAUUUCCCCAUCUAAACUAUAACCACGAU
rnacentral:lncRNA from 1 species